rnacentral:rRNA from 1 species
UGCGUAGGUGGUUUAAUAAGUUAGUUGUGAAAGUCCAGGGCUUAACCUUGGGACUGCGGCUAAUACUGUUAGGCUAGAGUACUGUAGAGGGAGGUGGAACUUCCGGUGUAGCGGUGAAAUGCGUAGAUAUCGGAAAGAACAUCAGUGGCGAAGGCGACCUUCUGGACAGAUACUGACACUGAGGCACGAAAGCGUGGGGAGCAAACA